rnacentral:ncRNA from 2 species
AUUCAACGACAGGGGAGCGCCGCCGUCGGACUGGCCAUGCCAGGCACCGCAGGUGGGCGCUGAGAGUGCGGACAGCCGCAGACCCUCGAACCUGAUCCGGUUAGUACCGGCGCAAGGGAGUCGAGUUCUCGAAGUG